rnacentral:rRNA from 1 species
CCUACGGGGGGCUGCAGUGGGGAAUUUUGGACAAUGGGCGCAAGCCUGAUCCAGCAAUGCCGCGUGCAGGAUGAAGGCCUUCGGGUUGUAAACUGCUUUUGUACGGAACGAAAAGGCUCUGGUUAAUACCUGGGGCUCAUGACGGUACCGUAAGAAUAAGCACCGGCUAACUACGUGCCAGCAGCCGCGGUAAUACGUAGGGUGCAAGCGUUAAUCGGAAUUACUGGGCGUAAAGCGUGCGCAGGCGGUUAUAUAAGUCAGAUGUGAAAUCCCCGGGCUCAACCUGGGACCUGCAUUUGAGACUGUAUAGCUAGAGUACGGUAGAGGGGGAUGGAAUUCCGCGUGUAGCAGUGAAAUGCGUAGAUAUGCGGAGGAACACCGAUGGCGAAGGCAAUCCCCUGGACCUGUACUGACGCUCAUGCACGAAAGCGUGGGGAGCAAACAGGAUUAGAUACCCCGGUAGUC